rnacentral:rRNA from 1 species
CCAUGUGGUGCGUAUACAGUCGNGCGGAUGAAGGGAGCUUGCUCCUGGAUUAGCGGCGGACGGGUGAGUAAUGCCUAGGAAUCUGCCUGGUAGUGGGGGAUAACGUCCGGAAACGGGCGCUAAUACCGCAUACGUCCUGAGGGAGAAAGUGGGGGAUCUUCGGACCUCACGCUAUCAGAUGAGCCUAGGCCGGAUUAGCUAGUUGGUGGGGUAAAGGCCUACCAAGGCGACGAUCCGUACCUGGUCUGAGAGGAUGAUCAGUCACACUGGAACUGAGACACGGCCCAAACUCCUACGGGAGGCAGCAGUGGGAAAUAUUGGACAAGGGGCGAAAGCCUGAUCCACCCCUGCCGCGUGUGUGAAGAAGGUCUUCGGAUUGUAAAGCCCCUUUAUUUCGGGAGGAGGGGCAGAAAGUUAAUAACCUGGGCGUUUUGCCGUUUUCACCAAGAAUAAGCCCCGCGUUUUUUUCUUGCCCCCCUCCCGCGGUAAUCCUAGGGGGGGCCAAGCCGUUACCUCGCAAUUACUUGGUAAUUAAAGCCCUGGAAAGGCGCGCCCAAGAUAGUUUGUAUAUAAAAAACCCCCCGUGGCUACCUCCGGGGUAUCUGCUCUCCCAUAACUGCCUUUUAUCAUUAGGCUCUGAUUCUAAGGGGGGCGGGGAAAUUUUCCUGGUGUAAAUCUUCCCAUUCGUUCCUUUUUUAGGAGCGGUAACUCCUCUGGGGGGAAGGCCAACCCCCCCUGGACUGGAAACC